CCCUUGCUGUCUCUGCCUUGCCGGUUCCCCUCUUUCCACUGGGAUUCUCUGCCUCUAACCCUUUUACAGGGGCUGAGUCACUGGCUUACUGGUGUUCUUCCAUGCCGUCCAUGGGAGGGGUGCGUCACUUGAGUGGGUUGAGUCACUGACGUGGUCUUCCUGUCUGGGUUGGCGCCCCCCCUUGGGUUGUGCCAUGGCGGAGAUCGUUGUGGGCUAUACUCGGCCUUGUCUUAGGAUGGUAAGUUGGUGGUUGGAGACAUCCCUCUAGUGGUGUGGGGGCUGUGCUUUGGCAAAGUGGGUGGCGUUAUGGGUCCUACAGUAGGUCUAUGUUAUUGUUAGGUGAAGUUAUGGGUCCUGCAGUAGGUCUAUGUUGUUGUUAGGUGAAGUUAUGGGUCCUACAGUAGGUCUAUGUUGUUGUUAGGUGAAGUUAUGGGUCCUACAGUAGGUCUAUGUUAUUGUUAGGUGGAGUUAUGGGUCCUACAGUAGGUCUAUGUUAUUGUUAGGUGAAGUUAUGGGUCCUACAGUAGGUCUAUGUUGUUGUUAGGUGAAGUUAUGGGUCCUACAGUAGGUCUAUGUUGUUGUUAGGUGAAGUUAUGGGUCCUACAGUAGGUCUAUGUUGUUGUUAGGUGAAGUUAUGGGUCCUACAGUAGGUCUAUGUUGUUGUUAGGUGAAGUUAUGGGUCCUACAUGUUAUUUUUUUUCACACUUACCUAUUGGUGUGUAGCCCUAACAUUCCAAGGCAUUUGUGGACAUUCUAUAGCAAUAGAGUGGGAAAGCUGCUGUGUGUUUGGAGAAUUAAUAGACUCUGCAGUAAAUACAACCUGAUAAAACAUCUCUCUCGUCUACACAUUCCGAUGCGCAAUAGCCAAUCAGAGCCACAGUAGACCUUAAAACAAACAAGCCAUUUGCACAUAGGCCUGCCAUCAUUUACUUAGAACUGGACUGUGUGUUUACAGGCAGUUGGGCCUGCCAUCAUUCACUUAGAACUGGACUGUGUGUUUACAGGCAGUUGGGCCUGACAUCAUUCACUUUGAACUGGACUGUGUGUUUACAGGCAGUUGGGCCUGACAUCAUUCACUUUGAACUGG
rnacentral:lncRNA from 1 species